UACGUAGGGGGCAAGCGUUGUCCGGAAUCAUUGGGCGUAAAGCGCGUGUAGGCGGCUCGGUAAGUCCGCUCUGAAAGUCCAGGGCUCAACCCUGGGAUGCGGGUGGAUACUGCCGAGCUCGAGUCCGGAAGAGGCGAGUGGAAUUCCUGGUGUAGUGGUGAAAUACGUAGAUAUCAGGAGGAACACCGGUGGCGAAGGCGGCGAUCUGGCCCAACACUGACACUGAGACCCAAAAGCGUGGGGAUCAAACAGG
rnacentral:rRNA from 1 species